ACAGAAAGUCACUGACUCCACCCUGUAAGUUUUCUUCUCCCUGAUCCAGAGUCUCACUGGCCGCCCGCUGCCUCUGAAAUGCACGUCUCCGUGGAGAAACUAAAAGAAUACAAGAAAAGAACAGGAAUAGCCAGGAACAGCCUUCACGUCAGCAGAUCAGCAGCUUUUGAAAUGGAGAGGUGAAGAAGCUCCUUGGCCUCACUAAUGACCGCAUGUAAUGCAAUCUAUUGCUCAUAAGCAGGAAAUGAGCAGCCGUACUGACUGACCUUUCACAUCAGGUCGUCACCUCUCAUGUCAAGGCUCGCUGCUCUCUGGAUGGUGUCGAGUCUCCAUUUCUUGACGCUGAAGAACGGACCCGCUCCCUCCAGGCUGGCAUGUCGUCUGAGCUUAGACAGGAAGUGGAGCAUGGUGC